rnacentral:rRNA from 1 species
GAUGGACGCUGGCGGCGUGCUUAACACAUGCAAGUCGAACGGGAUCCAAGGGGUGUUUGCCCUUUUUGGUGAGCGGGGCGAACGGGUGAGUAGCACGUGAGUUACCUGUUCUUUUCUUUGGGAUAAGCAUUCGACAGGGUGUUUUAUCCCAUAUGUUCUGUCUGCCUCGCAUGGGGUGGGUGGGAAAGGCUUUGGCCGGCUUGGGGUGGGCCCGCGGUCUUUCUGCUUGUAGGUGGGGUGAUGGCUUACCAAGGCCUUGACGGGUAGCCGGGCUGAGAGGGUGGGCGAUCGCAACGGGACUGAGAUGCGGCCGAGAGGCCGGCGGAAGGCAGCAGUGGGGAAUAGUGCACAAUGGGCGAAAGCCGGAUGCAGCGACGCCGCGUGGGGGAGGAAGGCCGACGGCUGUUAAACGUCUUUAGCGCUGAACAAGGCGUGACGGUGGGUAUGUGAAGGUAAGGGGUUAGAAAGCGCCGGCUAACUACGUG